rnacentral:lncRNA from 15 species
GGAAAUACACAGCAUGGAACUCUUUGAAAGUCUGGAAAUCUACAUCCCAGUGGAGGCUGAAGUGAAAAGCAUUUGUCUGUGGAGUUUACCAAACUCAGUGCUCAGACGAAUGGGCCUCCCCCUGUCUGACGCAGAGGGCUGCAGGACGCUCACAGAGUCUCCAGAGGGCAUAUGGAUUUGUCCAGCGGUCCUACGGAAGAAAGGCCAGAAACCUUCCCACGCAAGAAACAGUGUGAUAGAAAAUGUGUCCUCGCUGAUGGCAAAAGAGUUUCGAGCUGCACCAGGUCCCUUCCGGAUGUCUUUUGUCGCCUCCAACCAUGCAGCUUACAAGGUGUUGAAGGACACCAUGCCUGGGAAAAAGGUCUCUGCAAACACAUCUCCCCUCUCCCACCCGUCUCCGGGCUCAGUUCCCCUGACCUACCAAAAUGCUGCUGUUGUCAUCUACCACGGACGCAUUUACCUGUCCAUCAGGAAGCCCAAUCACAGCCGGAGUCGACGAGAGACACGUGAACCACAGCCAGCUUCAAAGUCCUCCUUUCCCUCAACAUCAGACAUGUCAGCUAAAAGCCAGACGAAGGAGCUGCUAAAUCCCAAGAAGAAACACACCACCCCUAAAGUAACACAGAGUGAAAACAGAAAGCAUGUUACGCACAAGGGAAGGGACGUACCCUCAUCCAAGACUGCAGCGGAAGCCACAGCCCCGGAGCCAGCUUGGUUUCAGCCCCAGGCGGAGCAGGGGAAGGUGGCCGACGACGGCGGUGAGAUACAGGACCUGGGCGAUGAAGAGAGCGCCAAUCAAAAUGUAGACGGCAAUCUAAAAGCUGACUGUGGGGAACCUGACAGCAUUGUAGAGCAAAGUAGUGGCCAGAGCUGGACCAGGAGGGAGUCCCAGGGGGCAGCUUCCACUUCACUGCAGCACGACUUUGAGGAGCUGGCGCAGGAGGAGAUGAUCGCUCGAAUGAAGGCCAAACUCAGACAGAGUGAAGCAGCUCUCAGCAACCUGCACUCGUCAUAGUUACGGCUCAGUCACAGUGGACGGCAGUGACGAGGCUUCCGUUCCCCAUGAAAUAAACUCCCUUUUAAAAUUAGGGUCACAUCCUCAAACUGCUGAGGGAACUCAGUGCAGUCAGUGCAGAAAUGACAGACUGAGACUAAUGGAGACUAAGACGCUAGGGCCACCAACAGCACACUUUACACAAGGCCUCGCGGCUGUUGAGGCUCUAAGAAUAGCAAAAUAGAAAAAUAGUUGCACCCUGACUGCUGCAGAACAAAGGAUAUCGUCAUCUGGCUUUAUUCCACACACGUCACACUUGACAGAACCUGGCGUCGGAGACUCGGCUGCAUUAGUAGCGUGCUAUUAGCAGCUAAUGUAACCUGCAGCAGGCCAGAGGUCUCAUCAGAUUGUUUUUAUUUUCAAAUGCCGGCUCAAAUUUAUCAAACUUCACACAGCUCCCUCGUGAGUCACUAAAGGCUUUGACUGUGUGUGAUCUUUUCCUUUAUAAGCUGGGCACAUCAAAUGAUUAUUUUCGGGGCUUUACUAUUAUCUGACUAUGUUGAGAAAUUGUCGACCUAUUGGGAACGUUUUAGUUUUAGAAGGAUUAGUGUAACAUUACUCUGCUUUGUUGUGGGACGCCAUUGACUUUUACAAAUGAUAUUUCAUAGGCUAUAUUUCUGUUACUGCAGAUAUCUCUGUCAGCAAUAAAGAAAAGAGUGAGUGGACAGCGUUGUGAGUUUGUUCUCAUUUAAAAGAGCAGUUCACAUUAUGUCACUGAUCAUCUGCAUCCACCUGCUGCUCACAUGUAGGCCUGCAACUAACAUUUAUUUUAAUUAUUGAUUUAUCUGUCAUCAAUUAAUAAAUAAUUUGUUUGGUCCAGAAAAUGUCUUGUUUUCUCCACAACCCAUUUCUUAAAAAAUGACUCAAUUAAUUCAAUAGUUGACAGCAUUGAUGAUUGAUGACAACACACAUCAACCAAGUAAUUGUUGCAGCUCUACACACACAUUGUGUGAAAAUGUGUUAUUGUGUCCUUUCUACCCUAAAUUCAGACUUAAAACGAUUAAAAUCCAGUUUUGUUUGUUAAAAUCAAAGUAAUGGAAUAUUUCCAGCUGCUGAAUGUUUCCAUCUUCCAAGUUAGUUUCCUCCACAGUUACAAAAAUGAAUCCAAGGAUGUGAUUGGAUUGUUGGAUUUCAAAUCAGUAGGUGAUAACAAAAGUAAUGUUGUUACUCAUUUUUUUGGUUGGGGGGGGGGGGGGGUAACUGUAAUCAUACUGAAAUGUAUUAGCCAUUACUUACACUACUAGUUACUGGGGAAAGUAAUGUUAUUACUGUUGUAUUAUUACUAACAAUGAGUUACUGCCCAACACUGCAAACACUGCAUUUGGUAGCUGAUCUGGAGCAUGCAACAGCAUCACACUUCUUCUGCAGGAUCUAUUUCAAUGAGCCUGAAUGAGGGAAGGAAAACUGAUUACAAAGUAAAUACACUGUUGCUCCACAAAUUUAUCCAGAGGCCUGAAACCAAGUUUGUAAUUUUCACCAAUGAGUUAGCACAAUUCUAGAAGCAUUUUUGCUUUGACUUCAUAUACAAUCACAUGACCACUAAAACUCAAUAUUUUCCAAAUCAACACCAGUGUGCUACUUGCUCAUUAGCAAACAAAUAAGCAUAAUAAACAUUCUACAAUAUGUGACUUUGUUCCAAGUCCCUCCACUCUUUUUAGUUUGUAUCUGUAACCUUGGAACAAGAAUCACAGAGGCACAAUAAUGACCUCCUCACACAUUCACCCACAGCUGAUAGAUAUUUAACUUCCUGAUGCACCACAUUAUCUUUGAUAGUUUUAGUCACUACAGAGAUUACAGGCAUUUUUUUGAAGAACUGAAGAUUUAAAUGAAGAAAACACAACUAAAUACAGAAAGCACACAACAGCAAUGAAUUUAAAAAAUGGUGUAGAGGGGGAACU